rnacentral:piRNA from 2 species
UCUCGUUUUGGUGACUCCUCUUAUGUUGUC